GUUCCUUGAGGGCAAACCUGUUGAAAGACAGGGACGCAAAACUGCGGGUCCUGGAUGGAAAAAUAUAAAAUUAAGCCAGGAUGGCUGAGUUGCAAGG
rnacentral:ncRNA from 2 species